rnacentral:rRNA from 1 species
UACGUAUGGUGCAAGCGUUAUCCGGAUUUACUGGGUGUAAAGGGAGCGCAGGCGGCGCGUUAAGUCUGAUGUGAAAUACCGGGGCUCAACCCCGGGGCUGCAUUGGAAACUGGCAGGCUGGAGUGCCGGAGAGGCAGGCGGAAUUCCUAGUGUAGCGGUGAAAUGCGUAGAUAUUAGGAGGAACACCAGUGGCGAAGGCGGCCUGCUGGACGGUGACUGACGCUGAGGCUCGAAAGCGUGGGGAGCAAACAGG